UGUUCAUCAUACCCACCUAUCAUUUUAAGGAAUGUUCUGUGAGGAUUGGGGACUGGUUGAACCUACUGGUCCCUGCCAGGCUGGGUAUUUUUGCCUUGCAGGUAUGUCUGGUUACAUCGACAUUAGGCUUUGUCUUCAUUCUGUUGAACUGGAUUGUGGUGUCUAAGCAUAUGUGGUUCAUGUGACUUUUGCAGGCAUAAACUUCAAGAAUCCUGAUGCGAAUAUUAGCACAGGGGUGGGUGGGCCAUGUCCUGUAGGUUAUUACUGUCCUGAGGGCACCAGCCUUCCUUUACCCUGCCCACUUGGCACUUUUUCAAACAGGUACUGCACUUCACAGGGUUAAAUGAUCCUACCAAACCAAGAUGAGUAAAUGAAACGAUUAACAGAUUUCUUUUUAUCUUUAUAGUCUGUAUGUCACUGAGAACACAGGAUGCUCUUUGUGUCCUGCUGGGCUAUUCUGCGGUUCAGUGGGCUUGAGUAGACCCUCUGGACUCUGCCAAGAGGGGUUCUACUGUCCUGCCGGGGCAUCGUCAUCCACAGGUUCUGAUUCUGAAGGUGGUCUCUGUCCUCAAGCGCACUUCUGCCCCGCUGGCAGUGCAGUGCCUGUUCCCUGCCCUGCGGGCACCUAUACCAACCUGACAGGACAGAUUAAGUGUAGUCCCUGCCAUGCUGGUUACUAUUGCCCAGAGAGUACCAGCAAAUACACUAUGUACCCCUGUCCUCCUGGAUUCUACUGCCCUGAUGGAACAAAGCAUGCCACCCAGUUCCCCUGCCCACGAGGCUAUUACAACCCUGAGCCGAUGACCCACAGCCUGGACAGCUGCCUGCCCUGUCCUCCAGGCCACUACUGUGAGAAAGAGCACCUGUCCGCAGUGUCUGGGAAAUGUAAAGCUGGAUGGUUUUGUGUAUCUGCUGCCUGGAACGCUCAGCCCUUUGACCUGGACAACUACACUAACGCUAACUGCCUAUGUCCUGCUUCCUCCACCGGGGGCAGAUGCCAGGAGGGGUUUUACUGUCCCGCUGGGACCUCUGAGCCUGUAUCUUGCCCUCCAGGAGCUUUCUGCAAUGCAACCGGUGCGUGAUCACUUGAUGCAAAGCAACAACUUCUCUAUGUGCUUUUGUAAAAUGGUCUGUUUACACCUGACCUUCUGAAACAGGUCUAGCCCAACCGAGUGGACCGUGCUGUCCUGGUUAUUACUGCACAAAGGAAGCCACUUCAUCCAGGCCUACAGAUGGCAUCACAGGCAACAUCUGCCCUCCAGGAACUUACUGUGGUAAUUACUGGGUCAUUCAGAUGUAGCUGAUUAAAAACCAGCCUCAGUCGAAUUUAUCUUAUUUAUGAAUAUCUAUCGUUUUCCCCAGACGAAGGGUCUAGUGCACCACAGCCGUGUCCAGCUGGGACUUUCUCCCCAGCAGCGGGCCUUGUGAGCAAGGACGAGUGUCAGCCCUGUAGAGCGGGUUACUACUGCGCUACCCCAGGCCUUCAGGCUCCUACCGCCCCCUGCAGACAGGGUGAGAACCAUCACUGCACAAAACCCAGACUAGUAAAGUGCCUUUUAAACAAUUUCUACAUCUUGUCCUUGUCCAUUUUUUUUUGGUAGGUUACUGGUGCCCGGCUGGUCAGACAGAUGACCUAGCUCUGCCGUGUCUGGUUGGUCAUUACUGUCCCCCAGGAAGCCCUGUCCCAAUUCUUUGUCCCACUGGGACAUAUCAGGACAAGCAGAAGCAGGCAAACUGUACAAUCUGUGAAUCAGGCAAGCUGCAGCCAUCUUAAGCAAACUGUGUGACACACUCCCACAUUUCUAUUUCUGGAAAACGUACUGAAGCUUGUAUCCUAUUUUUUGGUUUCUCCUACACCAGGUUUUUAUUGCGAUGAAACAUUUGGGGCUGCAAAUAUGUCUGUCCUGCAGCCUUGUCCAAAGGGACAUUACUGUCCUAAAGGAACAGGCUAUGCUGAACAAUUUCCAUGCCCUGCCAGCACCUAUAACCCUCGUGAGCUCAUGGACAGCCAAAAUGACUGUUUAUUGUGUCCAUCAGGACAUUACUGUCCGGAUGUUGGACUUGAAGAACCUGCAGGUGAGACUGAUGACAUUUCAAUAAAAAGUCUGAAUUGUGUUUUUAAUCA
ensembl:lncRNA